UGGGCACAGUCUUUCAAACCUGCAGGAUCCAAAAAGAAUAAACUGAACAGGAUUGGACCUACUAACAGCCAAGCAACACAAGGCAAAACGAGACAAGCCAAUGGAAAUGCAAUUCUAAACAUCAGAACAAGUGAGCAACUGAGCUGGAGGAGAUGGACUCAGCAGAUGAGUGGUCAUAGCACUUACCUGAACCAGAGAAGCCGCAAGUCCUGCCACCUAACCAAAAUACAUGAGUACACUUA